UACGGAGGGUGCAAGCGUUAUCCGGAUUCACUGGGUUUAAAGGGCGCGUAGGCGGGUUGGUAAGUCCGUGGUGAAAUCCCCAAGCUUAACUUGGGAACUGCCGUGGAUACUAUCAAUCUUGAAUAUCGUGGAGGUAAGCGGAAUAUGUCAUGUAGCGGUGAAAUGCUUAGAUAUGUCAUAGAACACCGAUUGCGAAGGCAGCUCACAAAGCCAUUAUUGACGCUGAGGCACGAAAGCGUGGGGAGCAAACAGG
rnacentral:rRNA from 1 species